UUGACAUAUUAUCUCAUGAUGUAGCGAUUACUAUAGAAAAGAUGGAAUGCCAUAGAUGAGGACGAGAUCUAACUUUAUUGACUCAACAAACAUGAUUAGAGAGAUUUAUUUUUCCUUAUCUAAACCCUUUCAUGGUUUUCUUCUUUCUUCUCCGUCUUGGAGAGAAAAAGCUCCGUUUCUCUUAUCUUCUCACCUCCUAUAUAUAUUAUUAGUAUUCUUUUUUGUCCAUCGAUCCUUAAACAGAGUGUCUUUAUCCCUUGAUUGUACUUCACGUCGUCUUCCUCAGCUACCAUGACAUUUUCUUCGCCAUACAGGCUUUUUGAUGGCUUGGUCUCGGUGGUGGCCGAGGUAUUCG
rnacentral:lncRNA from 1 species